rnacentral:rRNA from 1 species
UACGGAGGGUGCUAGCGUUGUUCGGAAUCACUGGGCGUAAAGCGCGUGUAGGCGGUCCGUUAAGUCUGAUGUGAAAGCCCGGGGCUCACCCCCGGAAGUGCAUUGGAAACUGACGAACUCGAGUCCCGGAGAGGAGGGUGGAAUUCCUGGUGUAGCGGUGAAAUGCGUAGAUAUCAAGAGGAACACCUGAGGUGAAGACGGGUUGCUGGGCCGACACUGACGCUGAGUGCGCGAAAGCCAGGGGAGCAAACGGG